UGGGGAAUAUUGCACAAUGGGCGCAAGCCCGAUGCAGCAACGCCGCGUGCGGGAUGACGGCCUUCGGGUUGUAAACCGCUUUUAGUAAGGAAGAAGGGGCCCUUUCGGGGGUUUUGACGGUACUUGCAGAAAAAGGACCGGCUAACUACGUGCCAGCAGCCGCGGUAAUACGUAGGGUCCGAGCGUUGUCCGGAAUUAUUGGGCGUAAAGAGCUCGUAGGCGGUUUGUCGCGUCUGCUGUGAAAUCCCGAGGCUCAACCUCGGGUCUGCAGUGGGUACGGGCAGACUGGAGUGCGGUAGGGGAGAAUGGAAUUCCUGGUGUAGCGGUGGAAUGCGCAGAUAUCAGGAGGAACACCGAUGGCGAAGGCAGUUCUCUGGGCCGUAACUGACGCUGAGGAGCGAAAGCGUGGGGAGCGAACAGGAUUAGAUACCCUGGUACGUCCACGCCGUAAACGUUGGGACGCUAGAUGUGGGGACCUUUCCGACGGUUUCCGUGUCGUAGCU
rnacentral:rRNA from 1 species